AGAUUAAGUUAUUAAGGGCGCACGGUGGAUGCCUUGGCACUAGAAGCCGAUGAAGGACGUUACUAACGACGAUAUGCUUUGGGGAGCUGUAAGUAAGCUUUGAUCCAGAGAUUUCCGAAUGGGGAAACCCAACAUGAGUUAUGUCAUGUUAUCGAUAUGUGAAUACAUAGCAUAUCAGAAGGCACACCCGGAGAACUGAAACAUCUUAGUACCCGGAGGAAGAGAAAGAAAAUUCGAUUCCCUUAGUAGCGGCGAGCGAAACGGGAAGAGCCCAAACCAACAAGCUUGCUUGUUGGGGUUGUAGGACACUCUAUACGGAGUUACAAAGGACGACAUUAGACGAAUCAUCUGGAAAGAUGAAUCAAAGAAGGUAAUAAUCCUGUAGUCGAAAAUGUUGUCUCUCUUGAGUGGAUCCUGAGUACGACGGAGCACGUGAAAUUCCGUCGGAAUCUGGGAGGACCAUCUCCUAAGGCUAAAUACUCUCUAGUGACCGAUAGUGAACCAGUACCGUGAGGGAAAGGUGAAAAGCACCCCGGAAGGGGAGUGAAAUAGAACCUGAAACCGUGUGCUUACAAGUAGUCAGAGCCCGUUAAUGGGUGAUGGCGUGCCUUUUGUAGAAUGAACCGGCGAGUUACGAUUUGAUGCAAGGUUAAGCAGUAAAUGUGGAGCCGUAGCGAAAGCGAGUCUGAAUAGGGCGUUUAGUAUUUGGUCGUAGACCCGAAACCAGGUGAUCUACCCUUGGUCAGGUUGAAGUUCAGGUAACACUGAAUGGAGGACCGAACCGACUUACGUUGAAAAGUGAGCGGAUGAACUGAGGGUAGCGGAGAAAUUCCAAUCGAACCUGGAGAUAGCUGGUUCUCUCCGAAAUAGCUUUAGGGCUAGCCUCAAGUGAUGAUUAUUGGAGGUAGAGCACUGUUUGGACGAGGGGCCCCUCUCGGGUUACCGAAUUCAGACAAACUCCGAAUGCCAAUUAAUUUAACUUGGGAGUCAGAACAUGGGUGAUAAGGUCCGUGUUCGAAAGGGAAACAGCCCAGACCACCAGCUAAGGUCCCAAAAUAUAUGUUAAGUGGAAAAGGAUGUGGCGUUGCCCAGACAACUAGGAUGUUGGCUUAGAAGCAGCCAUCAUUUAAAGAGUGCGUAAUAGCUCACUAGUCGAGUGACACUGCGCCGAAAAUGUACCGGGGCUAAACAUAUUACCGAAGCUGUGGAUUGUCCUUUGGACAAUGGUAGGAGAGCGUUCUAAGGGCGUUGAAGCAUGAUCGCAAGGACAUGUGGAGCGCUUAGAAGUGAGAAUGCCGGUGUGAGUAGCGAAAGACGGGUGAGAAUCCCGUCCACCGAUUGACUAAGGUUUCCAGAGGAAGGCUCGUCCGCUCUGGGUUAGUCGGGUCCUAAGCUGAGGCCGACAGGCGUAGGCGAUGGAUAACAGGUUGAUAUUCCUGUACCACCUAUAAUCGUUUUAAUCGAUGGGGGG
rnacentral:rRNA from 1 species